GCCUGGCUGGCUCAGUUGGUAGAGUGUGUGACUCUUGAUCUCGGGGUCAUGAGUUCAAGCCCCAUGUUGGGCA
rnacentral:tRNA from 1 species